UACGAAGGGGGCUAGCGUUGUUCGGAUUUACUGGGCGUAAAGCGCACGUAGGCGGGUCGCUAAGUCAGGGGUGAAAUCCUGGAGCUCAACUCCAGAACUGCCCUUGAUACUGGCGGUCUCGAGUCCGGGAGAGGUGAGUGGAACUGCGAGUGUAGAGGUGAAAUUCGUAGAUAUUCGCAAGAACACCAGUGGCGAAGGCGGCUCACUGGCCCGGUACUGACGCUGAGGUGCGAAAGCGUGGGGAGCAAACAGG
rnacentral:rRNA from 1 species